UGAGGAAUAUUGGUCAAUGGGCGAGAGCCUGAACCAGCCAAGUAGCGUGCAGGAAGACGGCCCUAUGGGUUGUAAACUGCUUUUAUGUGGGGAUAAAGUGCGUGACGUGUCAUGCAUUGCAGGUACCACAUGAAUAAGGACCGGCUAAUUCCGUGCCAGCAGCCGCGGUAAUACGGAAGGUCCGGGCGUUAUCCGGAUUUAUUGGGUUUAAAGGGAGCGUAGGCUGUUUGUUAAGCGUGUUGUGAAAUGUAGGAGCUCAACUUUUAGAUUGCAGCGCGAACUGGCAGACUUGAGUGCGCACAACGUAGGCGGAAUUCAUGGUGUAGCGGUGAAAUGCUUAGAUAUCAUGACGAACUCCGAUUGCGAAGGCAGCUUACGGGAGCGCAACUGACGCUAAAGCUCGAAGGUGCGGGUAUCGAACAGG
rnacentral:rRNA from 1 species